UUUAUUAUUAUAUGCGUAUUAUAUUUAUCUGCAUAUAAGUCAUAAUUAUAUAUCUAUGCAGACAAAUAUAUAUGUAUAUGUAAAUUUGCGUAGCUACUGCAAUUAAUAAUGAUCACACAGAAUAAUAUUAAAUAAAUAAUAUAUUAUAUAUAUUAUAUAUAUUAUAUAUAUUUUAUAUAUAUAAGAGUAAAAAUAAGUAAACAAUUAAUAUAACUAUACAUAACAUGAGGGGAUAUAAAUUUAAAAAGAAUAACUUUAUUAUUAUUAUUAAAAAACUAUCAAUACAAACUGCUAUACUUAUUUGUGAAUACAAUAUAAUUGUAUUCACAAAUAAAUUGUUAUCAAUAAUAUAAAUAUGCUCACUGGGGUCCGUAUCUGAAUACGUUCUGAAACGCGUUAACAAAAAUGUUAGCGCGUUGUUAUAUCCAAUAUAAAAAUAUGUUUUUUAUAAUACAGAUAUUCUUCUAUUGGAUAACAACACACUAACAUUUUUGUUAGCGCGUUCUGAAUACGGACCACAAACUUUUGCUUAAAUAAAUAAUAAAAAUAUAUUCUACGAAACAGAGCAUAAAGAAAUCCAAUUAUGUAUUAUGAUCUAAUAAAUUAUACUCAUUAGAAUUUAUUAUUAAUUAACAAGAAAAAAAUACAAAUAAAAUCGUCAAAUUUGUUUAUUAAGAACAAAAGAUAUCCCAAAUAGUACAAAGAGUUCAAAAAGAACUCAAUUGAAUGCACUAAUUAUGAAUCCUUUUUGAGAUGCAAUAAGAAUUAUUUUUAUUAUAUUUUUAUAAAAAUAAUUCUUUUUGCAUCUCAAAACGAAUUCAUAAUUGGUGACAUACAAUUGAGUUCUUUUUGAACUCUUUGUACAAUCUGCGAUUACAUUAUUGGAAAUGAUAAAAUCUCUGUAUUUUUGUAAAAAUAAAGUCUCUUAUAAUAGCACUGCUGCAAUAAGUUAAAUAUUUUUUCUCAUUUUAACUUAUUGCGCUAGUGCAGCAGUGCAGGAAUAAAAAACAAACCUGAUGUUCUAUUAAGAAGAUUGUUAAUUUUUUCAUAAACUUUUCCACCGAGAGUUUGAAUAAUUGGGUUGAGUUAGCAUAACAAUUAACCAAUAGUUAUGCUGAUUAUAACGGAAAUUAGGUUACUUCCGUAGAACAUAUUUAUUGUUUAUUUGAGCAAAAGUUAGUGAGUAUAUUUAAAUUAUUGAUAACCAUUGAUUUGUGAAUAUAAUUAUCUUGUCAGUAUAGCAGUUUGUGUUGAUAAUUUUUUUAAUAAAAUGUAUGUUAUGUAUACUUAUUAUUAUUUACUUAUUUUUACUCUUAUAUUGUAUAUAUAUAUAAUAUAUAUUAUUUAUUUACUGUGUGAUCAUUAGUGUAGCUACGCAAAUUUACAUAUACAUGAUAUAUAUUUGGCUGCAUAGCUAUAUAAUUAUGACUACGCAGAUAAAUAUACACAUAUAAUAAUAAAUAAAUUUAUAUAUAUUCGUAAUUAUGAUUAUGUCGAAAAAUAUUAUGUACAUAUGUAUGUAUAUAUACAUGUAUAUGAAAAGGCAGUUUUAAGGUCAUUUUUAUUGAUAAAAAGGCAGUUUUCAAGACUUCUGGCAGUUGUCAGGUCAAUUUUGAAAUUUUGUCAUCGAAAGCGUUCAGGACCGUUCUUGACUGCGUUCCGUUUCAACGCAUGAUGCGCAUAAUGCAUUAUUCAUCCUUGUUUAACGUUUGACAAACAACAAGGAUGAACGAUGCAUCAUGUGUACCAUGCGUGAAACGGAACGUACCCCUUGUGUUUCUCAUAGGCUGCGGUCGAGUUGCCGCUACAAAUGCUUCGAAGCGUUUGAUUAACCAAUCAAAAGAAUAAAUUUUAUAAAUUGACGAAUCAAAGAAUGCUUCGAAGUAUUCGUAGGGGCAACUUGACCGCACUCACAACUAUACGAAUGUAAGCGUUUAAACGUGUAGUCAAGAGUCGCACAUCGGUUGCGAAUGUGUUAACGAAAUUUUUGAACGUGGCUGAUGCAAUCGGCUGUAUUUAUAUCUGCUAUUCCUUUUUGCAUCCUCAACUUCAGCAUUUUUAUCUAUUACAUCACGGCAUUUUUCAUUACUUAUUACGCUCAUCAUAGCUCAACAUAUAUUAUUAUACCUCAUGGUCCUAUCGUCCCAUAUCUUCGGAGGGAUUAAGAAGAGAAGUGUAAUGUCAAGAGCUGCGUUCAGUUUCACGUAUUAUGCGCAUCAUACGUGGAACAAAACGCAGCUAAAUUGUUAAGCUGCUGCAAUGCAAUAUUGUAUCUGUUGAUUGUGUGGAUCGGUGCAAACCUCAAAGAGAGGUAGAUAGCUUUUUUGGAGAUUUUAAAUAUGAUAUAGUUACGAAA